AGCAAAAUGAGAAACAGUUAACACCUCAGUAGCUAACAAACACUGGGUGGCAAGAAGAAGGUGUUAUACCUCAGACCCCAUGCUGAGUGGCCUACCUUUGACGAUCCUCACCUUUACUCCUCCUCUCCCCCACAACUAAAGGUGGAGAGGAGAAUGAUCAAGGAAGACUUCAUGGAAGAGAUGGCAACCGAGCUAAAUCUUGAGAGAAAAGAAGGAUUUUCACAGAAGGAGAUGUGGGAAGAGGGUAUGUUCUGGCAUGUAAUAGGAAGAAGCAGGAGAGAGCAAGACAAAAUUGUGGAGAAACAAAAAUCUUACUUUUGCUGAAAUGAAGGCAAGUAGAAUCAAAUCAAAUUGGAAAGGAGGGGAUAAUGCAUAGUGAAAUAUCCCCAAAAUGAGCAGCUGUAAGAGGAGGAUAAGCAAAUGACCUGAAUCGACCACAAAAUGGAUAAUCAGACAGCUUCUAAACAUCAAGCACCGCCUGUGUCUUUCUCCUCCAAUAAAGCAAUCGAUGGGAAUAUGAAGACUGAUUCAAACUGCCUCUUUUUUUUUGUCCCUGAACCAACUGGCUCACCCUGACCACAUUCUUUCAUCCUGGAUAUAGUAGAAUUGUAAAUUUCUAUAAUCAUGAAGUUUCCUUUUAAAAUAAAGUGCUAUUUCUUAAGUGCAAAUCUGACCAUGUGAUUCCUUUGU
rnacentral:lncRNA from 1 species